rnacentral:rRNA from 1 species
CGCGUAGGUGGCUUUGUAAGCGGGCGGUGAAAGUCCGGGGCUCAACCCCGGAUCGGCCGUGCGGACUGCAAAGCUCGAGCACUGUAGAGGCAGGUGGAAUUCCGGGUGUAGCGGUGGAAUGCGUAGAGAUCCGGAGGAACACCAGUGGCGAAGGCGGCCUGCUGGGCAGUGGCUGACACUGAGGCGCGACAGCGUGGGGAGCAAACAGGAUUAGAUACCCUGGUAGUCCACGCCGUAAACGAUGGGCACUAGGUGCUUCGGGGAGCGACCCUCGGAGUGCCGGCGCUAACGCAUUAAGUGCCCCGCCUGGGGAGUACGGCCGCAAGGCUGAA